CCCAGUGCCAGCCCAGAAGAUGCCACCGUGGAACUACGGGGCACAGGCCGCACCCCGUAAGCCCGUGAGGGGGCAGCCCGCUGGGGCGCGCCCUGCGGCGGCGGCGGGGUACUAUGGCGGCGGCGACGUGGGGCAGCAGCAGGGUGACAUGCCCCGCUACCCGCCGCCGCAGUGGGCGCCAAGGCCCUCUAGGUGGUAACCGCAGUAGCAAUAGCAAUAGCAGCAGUAGCAGUAGCAGCAGCAGCAGCAGUGUCACAGCGGUAGCACCCGUCCUGAGACCUGUGUAUCCACAGCUACCCGGAGCUAGAGCCGCUGCUGUUCCAGCAGUGAAGUGGUAGUGACAGCGACAGCUGGCGGCUACAGCCCCCGGAUGGCUGGUUUCGUGGGUUUGGUGGGUGAAUGUACAUUUGGGGGUCUCAAAACAGACACGUCCCUGCUGUGCCGUGUGGUGAUGCGGUUUGGCAUGACAUGACAUGACAUGACUUGGAGCAACGUGUCCUGUUUCACAUCAACAUGGCAUAUGGCAUAUGGACACUAGCUGAAGAUUGGUGAAGUAGUGAUAUAAGCAUGUAUGGACAUUCAACAUGAAGACGGCCUAGCCGGGCACCGUGCCCGUGGUAUGGAUUGUGUGUGCGGUGUGCGUGACUCUGUUCCAAAUGGUGUGCCGCAACAGAGAUCUGGCCCUCAGCUUUCGCAAAUGGAAUGUGAGCCCCCUUUUUCACGAAUUGCCGUACAAGGCUGUGGCUUGAACUGCAGCGUCCUCUGGCCGCUGAUCCAGUUGUCGUACUGCCUUCAGAGGCGAGCGGGCUGCACCCCCGUGUGUGUGUAUUGCUGGUGCCGUCGGCUACUGACUGACUGACGUGCUAACGAACAAACUGCCCACUCCGGUCCAUUGCCAAUACCUGCCACGGUCAGGCAGGGAAGUAAUCAUACGUAGCUACGUUUGGUCUGAUGCGGUGUAGAUCCGUGGUCCGAUGAGCGACUUGUAGAUAAAGGACUGCAACCUGGGCCAAGGAGGAGGGCGCUGACUCAAAGACCUGACCAGGCCAAACUGCUUUGACUGACGAACUGACUGACAGACUGACAGACUGACAGACUGACUUGGCCAAGUAACUGGGCAUGCACAGUAGACCACGACAGAGUGGGCAGGUAGUGGGCUGUGGUGGAGAAGGAGGAAAGGAAAUGGACGAGCCUCCCCGCCGGCAAUCCGCCGCCUGACAUGGCAGGGAAUCGGGCGCGCUGCGAGGA
rnacentral:lncRNA from 1 species